CUCUGGCUCUGCUCCUGUCCUCGGUGCACUUCAGAAUUUCUACAGGCUCUCCAUGUAGUGCCAGCUCCAUGGGUGGCCUGGAGAAGAUGGGUCAGUGUGGGAGUGAGAGGGGCUGCUUGUGCAUUGCUAGGAAAGGUCCUGGCCCUGGUAGGAUUCAUCAUUUCAGUUUGAGGAAACCGGAACUGACAAAUAAACAAAUCCCUGAAAUUUAAGGUAAAAUAAAGAAAAAAAUCUUUGUAAAUGUUAAAUAAUU
rnacentral:lncRNA from 1 species